rnacentral:rRNA from 1 species
UUAAGCUACUAAGGGCGUACGGUGGAUGCCUUGGCGCCAGAAGGCGAUGAAGGACGUGGCAAGCUGCGAUAAGCCCCGGGGAGCCGCAAGCAGGCUUUGAUCCGAGGAUGUCCGAAUGGGGAAACCCGGCGGGAUGAACUCCCGUUACAGCCCGCUGAAUUCAUAGGCGGGUAUGAGCCAACCCAGGGAAGUGAACCAUCUCAGUACCUGGUGGAAAAUAAAUCACAGAGAUUCCGAAAGUAGCGGCGAGCGAAAUCGGAACAGCCCAAACCCCGGUAUUUAUACCGGGGGGUUGUAGGACCGCGUGAGUAGAGUUACCAAUCCGACGGUUAGGUGAACCCGCUGGAAAGCGGGGCCAUAGAAUGUGAGAGCCAUGUAACCGAAAGCUGAUCGGACUCGAAGCGGAAUCCUGAGUACCACCGGACACGUGUAAUCCGGUGGGAAGCUGGGGAGACCACUCUCCAAGGCUAAAUACUCUCUGGCGACCGAUAGUGAACCAGUACCGCGAGGGAAAGGCGAAAAGCACCCCUGCGAGGGGAGUGAAAUAGAACCUGAAACCGUAUGCUUACAAGCAGUCGGAGGGCUAUGUGCGGACUUCGGUCCGUACCCGCCUGACGGCGUGCCUCUUGCUUAAUGAGCCGGCUAGUUAUUCUUACGUGCGAGGUUAAGCGCAAGCGAGCCGUAGCGAAAGCGAGUCCGAACAGGGCGACAGUACGUAGGAAUAGACGCGAAGCGGGAUGAUCUACCCUUGGCCAGGUUGAAGGCCGCUUAACCGCGGCUGGAGGACCGAACCGGUGUGAGUUGAAAAUCGCUCGGAUGAGCUGAGGGUAGGGGUGAAAGGCUAAUCAAAUUCCGUGAUAGCUCGUUCUCCCCGAAAUGUCUUUAGGGACAGCCUUGUGUGAAUUGCCACGGUGGUAGAGCACUGAAUGGACUAGGGACCAACUCAGGUUACCGAAUCCAAUCAAACUACGAAUGCCGUGGACAACUGCACGGGAGUGAGACUACGAGGGAUAAGCUUCGUGGUCAAAAGGGAAACAGCCCAGAUCGCCAGCUAAGGUCCCUAACUGUGUGCUAAGUGGGAAAGGAAGUGUAUUCGCUCGGACAGCCAGGAGGUUGGCUUAGAAGCAGCCAUCCUUUAAAGAAAGCGUAACAGCUCACUGGUCAAGCGGAUAUGCACCAACAAUCCAACGGGGCUCAAGCACACGACCGAAGCUGCGAAAUGACAUUUCUUCGGAAAUGUCUUUGGUAGGGGAGCAUUGUGUGUGGUCUUAAGGCAGACCGCGAGGACUGCUGAACUCCACACAAGAGACCCUGCCGGCAUAAGUAGCGAUAAACACGAUGAGAACUCGUGUCGCCGAAAGUCUAAGGUUUCCUGAGGAAGGUUAAUCCGCUCAGGGUUAGGCGGGUCCUAAGGUGAGGCCGAAAGGCGUAGCUGAUGGACAACAGGUCAACAUUCCUGUCCCGCCUGGCGACGUUAUCACGAUGGGGUGACGCAGAAGGAUAGGAGAUCCACCUGAUGGAUGGUGGUUGGCGAGUGUAAGCCGGAUCCCGGAGGAAAAUCCCCGGGGUCAUUCAACGGUGAGACUCGACACGUGGCCGUAUGGCCGAGAAGUCUCUGAUUCUACGCUGCCGGGAAAACCCUCUAAGGAGUCCGCCAGGUGCCCGUACCACAAACCGACACAGGUAGACAAGGUGAAUAUCCACAGGCGCUCGAGAGAACGCUCGCUCAGGAACUAGGCACAUUAGCCCCGUAACCUCGGGAGAAGGGGCACCGCACUAGGGUUUAUCGCCCGAAGCGGUCGCAGUGAAAUGCGCUCUGCAACUGUUUAACAAAAACACAGCUCUCUGCAAAGUCGAAUACGACGUAUAGGGGGUGACACCUGCCCGGUGCCGGAAGGUUAAAGCAAGGGCUCAGCCGCAAGGCGAAGGCCUGAACUGAAGCCCCGGUGAACGGCGGCCGUAACUAUAGUUUAGACCACUGUAGUUUCGAGAACAAAAUCUGGCUAUUUGCUGGAACGUCCGUCAAACCGCGGUACUCGCCACUAGCCUGCUAGAGCCAGGCGAAGAAGGUGGCAGUGAAAAUCCGCGGGUUUCUGGACUAUCAGCAGGAAAGGCUCUGGCCUUUUCGGAGAAGUCCAUGCUUAAUCCCAGAACGGUUUCAAGUGAGAUCGGGUGGUAUUUGGCUGGCUUUGCCGAUGGCGAAGGAAGUUUCAACGUUUCCUUUCGUCCUCGCGAAGACUACCAAUGCCCCUGGAAAGUCUCACUGUGCUUCAAUAUCUCUCAGCGUGAUCCAGUGGUUCUGACGCUCUUCAAGCGCCAUCUGCAGUGCGGCACGAUGAGGCAGCGCCACGACGGAGUCUGGUACUACGAGGUGAACAACCUUACUCCGAUCCUGGAGAACGUGAUUCCUUUCUUUGACCGCUUCCAUUUUCUCUCCGCAAAGAAAAAACGCGAUUUUGCAAAGUUCAAGCAGAUCGCCGAGAUCAUUCGCGGAGGGCAGCACGAAACGCGGGAGGGAAUCGAAGAGAUUCUGAAGAUCCGAGACGAUAUGAACGAUGGGGGAAAGCGUCGGUACUCGCACGAAGAAAUCCGAAAACGGCUGGAGAAUCCUCAGAGACCAUACGCCGGACCUGCGAAGCUUGCAGGAUGAUAUGGUCCGACCUCCGUGGAGACACGGAGAGCCAGGCGGAAACGUCCUGGCCGCCGAUCGGAACUCGAUCGGCAGUAACAAACGUGAACGGUCCUAAGGUUUAUCGGUAUACCAUUCAAAACAUGAGCCUUAGUAAAAACUGGCCAAAUGCGGGAAAAUCCGAGAAUUCUCUGCUACCUGCCGAUUCGCAGUCGGCGGUAACAAGGCAGGAGAUGCGGACCAUCCGCAGGAAAGGCCGAAUCGGCAAUGAUUCGGAAUCCUCAGAGACUAUACGCCAGUCUCCGGCGCAAGCUGGAGAAG